rnacentral:rRNA from 1 species
AUGCCUUCAGAGUUCAGAGAGAUAUUACAGCACGGUUUAAUCAAGGGAGUGAGUGCAUCUCAAGCUAUCAACGCAAAGCCACGGUUUUAUCUUUGGAACGGUAUCAGAGGGCGUCCUGUCCACGUCUCCAUCUUCUCCAAGUACUUGACGGGGACGACGCCGUCGAAACCCUCCGUCAGUACCACCUUGUUGUCGGAGAUGUAUAGCUUCAUCCCAUCUGAGAAACGAAUUCGGCAAUCAGAUACUAGCAUCUCUAGUCUAGCGAGAUAG